AGACAUACAGAGAGACAGAACCAGCCUUAUGCUGUCUGUCUUGGUCCGUGUGUAUGUGCAUGUGCGUGCUUGCGUGUGUGUCUGGAGGGGGGCUGAUACAGACAGACAGAGCCAGACUUAAUACGAACAACCUCUAGAGGGGGAAAACAAUACUGUGGCUGUCUGCUGGAACUACACAGACAGCAGUGUGUCUCUAGAGGGGUGGCUCCUGGAACUACACAGACAACAGUGUCUCUCUAGAGGGGUGUCUGCUGGAACUAAACAGACAACAGUGUAUCUCUAGAGGGCUGGCUGCUGGAACUACACAGACAGCAGUGUCUCUCUCUCUAGAGGGGUGGCUCCUGGAACUACACAGACAACAGUGUCUCUCUAGAGGGGUGUCUGCUGGAACUACACAGACAACAGUGUCUCUCUCUCUAGAGGGGUGGCUCCUGGAACUACACAGACAGCAGUGUCUCUCUAGAUCGGUGUCUGCUGGAACUACACAGACAACAGUGUCUCUCUAGAGUGGUGGCUCCUGGCACUACACAGACAGCAGUGUCUCUCUAGAUCGGUGUCUGCUGGAACUACACAGACAACAGUGUCUCUCUAGAGGGGUGGCUCCUGGAACUACACAGACAACAGUGUCUCUCUAGAGGGGUGGCUGCUGGAACUACACAGACAACAGUGUCUCUCUAGAGGGGUGGCUGCUGGAACUACACAGACAACAGUGUCUCUCUAGAGGGGUGGCUCCUGGAACUACACAGACAACAGUGUCUCUCUAGAGGGGUGGCUGCUGGAACUACACAGACAACAGUGUAUCUCUAGAGGGGUGGCUCCUGGAACUACACAGACAACAGUGUCUCUCUAGAGGGGUGGCUGCUGGAACUACACAGACAACAGUGUAUCUCUAGAGGGGUGGCUCCUGGAACUACACAGACAACAGUGUCUCUCUAGAGGGGUGGCUGCUGGAACUACACAGACAACAGUGUAUCUCUAGAGGGGUGGCUCCUGGAACUACACAGACAACAGUGUGUCACUAGAGGGGUGGCUCCUGGAACUACACAGACAACAGUGUCUCUCUAGAGGGGUGGCCCCUGGAACUACACAGACAACAGUGUCUCUCUAGAGGGGUGGCUCCUGGAACUACACAGACAACAGUGUGUCUCUAGAGGGCUGGCUGCUGGAACUACACAGACAACAGUGUCUCUCUAGAGGGGUGUCUGCUGGAACUACACAGACAACAGUGUGUCUCUAGAGGGGUGGCCCCUGGAACUACACAGACAACAGUGUCUCUCUAGAGGGGUGGCUGCUGGAACUACACAGACAACAGUGUCUCUCUCUCUAGAGGGGUGUCUGAUGGAACUACACAGACAGCAGUGUCUCUCUAGAUCGGUGUCUGCUGGAACUACACAGACAACAGUGUCUCUAGAGGGGUGUCUGCUGGAACUACACAGACAACAGUGUAUCUCUAGAGGGCUGGCUGCUGGAACUACACAGACAACAGUGUAUCUCUAGAGGGCUGGCUGCUGGAACUACACAGACAGCAGUGUCUCUCUCUCUAGAGGGGUGGCUCCUGGAACUACACAGACAGCACUGUCUCUCUCUCUAGAGGGGUGGCCCCUGGAACUACACAGACAACAGUGUGUCACAUCCAACAUUAAUGACAGACAUCAGGGAACCUCAUUUCUCCCUGUACACACCCACCAGGAAGGAAGGACAUUGCCGUGCACACACGCAUCAUAUGGUCAUGUGACUGGAGCGCCGACAACAAGUACUUUGUGACAUCAAGUCGAGACAAGAAGUCAGAGUCAUGCGUUGACAGUGAAGAGGCUGCGCUGGAGGCCGAGGGCGGGCCAGGCCGGCCAGGGGGGCGAGGAAGAGGGCGAAGGCAGGUUCACAGCAGCAGACAGUUCCUGGGUGCAGCUGGCCAGCGCUGGGGCAGACCACUGUCAAAAUCUUCAACAUCAACAGACUGGCUGUGUAGCUAGCGUUGGCUCUGGGACAUUGACACCAUUAGAUAGUGGCAUCCUGACACUGCUAACUGAGACUACAGGGCUGUCUGCCUGGAGAGGAGAGGAGCAGAGCUGGGGCUGGUUGUUCACUGGGUCAUUCCAUUCCCCCUGUGUGACAGCCAGCCAGCUCAGACAAGAAAGCCAGGCAGGCCAGGUCUGUUGAGCUGCUUUCAGGAUGCCCCCAGUCCAGGACUUCUCUGUUUCUCUGGAUGGAGCUCUGGUCUUUAUUUUGACCCUGCAGUCAUCAUCUUCUGUACUCUUAAGGUCUAGGACCUUCAUUUGUUAGGGCUCAGUCAAAUUAUAUUUGAAAGUCCUCUGUUUCUUUCAUUACCAUAUGUUCUUUCUUUCUGAUGUAUUGCUGUCUCUUCAUGUCCUUAGAAAAUAUGACACAGUACUGAUACUUUUAAUGUAAAAAAAGUAACUUAUCUGAAUAAAGCUCAUUUUGUAACCAUA